rnacentral:lncRNA from 1 species
UCGAUUUAUCAAGAAUGCUGAAAAGGCUGCUGAUCUCCAGAACUAUGUGCUGUGCGUUGAGAUGCUCAUAGCUGCCAUUGGGCACCUAUUUGCCUUUCCCUACAAGGAGUAUGCAGGUGCAAAUGCUCGCCCUUCGGGUGGUUUCAGGGAAAGCCUUCUUCAUGCUUUGAAAUUCAACGAUUUCUACCAUGACACUGUUCACCAGGUAACCAGGAUCUUAGACGCCUAUUCCCUGUAUCUGGCGCUCACUGUCUAACUUCUCGAUCAAAUCGGCUCCAUUCUUGUUUGCUGAAGGAAACUACAUUCUUGUUUACUGUGCCUUGCCUGUAUCUUGGUCUAAUCGGCUUCAUUCUCAUGCAGUUUGCUCCUACCUACAACGAAUAUGUGCUGUACAACCACAAUGAGGGAGAGAGUGCACCGACAAAGUUUCCUUCAGGGAGCGCCGUGCCAAGUGUCCGGGAUGUGGAGUUG